rnacentral:rRNA from 1 species
UAAUACGGAGGGUGCAAGCGUUAUCCGGAUUCACUGGGUUUAAAGGGUGCGUAGGCGGGUAGGUAAGUCAGUGGUGAAAUCUCGGAGCUUAACUCCGAAACUGCCAUUGAUACUAUCUAUCUUGAAUAUUGUUGAGGUUUGCGGAAUAUGUCAUGUAGCGGUGAAAUGCAUAGAUAUGACAUAGAACACCUAUUGCGAAGGCAGCAGGCUAAACAUAUAUUGACGCUGAGGCACGAAAGCGUGGGGAUCAAACAGGAUUAGAUACCCUGGUAGUCCACGCCCUAAACGAUGGAUACUCGACAUACGCGAUACACAGUGUGUGUCUGAGCGAAAGCAUUAAGUAUCCCACCUGGGAAGUACGACCGCAAGGUUGAAACUCAAAGGAAUUGACGG